rnacentral:rRNA from 1 species
UAGGCGAUGGACAACAGGUUUAUAUUCCUGUACCGGUUACACGCGUUAAAACGAAGGGGAGACGCAGGUGGUUGACUGUGGCGCGCGGAUGGAAGUGCGCGUUCAAGCGGCAAGCGAGUGUAGGGAGGGAAAUCCCCCUAUGCGAUGAGGGAGCCGUGAUGAGGACGGGUUGAAACCCGGAAGAGCAGAAGAUCGUGCUGCCAAGAAAAGCCUCUAGGAGUGUGUAAGCGCCCGUACCGUAAACCGACACAGGUGGGCAAGGAGAGUAUCUAAAGGUGAGCGGGAGAACGUUUGUUAAGGAACUCGGCAACAUAGCCCCGUAACUUCGGGAGAAGGGGUGCUCCUUUCUAUAAAAGGAGAGGAGCCGCAGUGAAGAGGUCCAGGCGACUGUUUACCAAAAACACAGGUCUCUGCAAAGCCGAAAGGCGAAGUAUAGGGGCUGACGCCUGCCCGGUGCUGGAAGGUAAAGGGGAAGAGUUGGCGCUCAGAACCGAAGCCCCAGUAAACGGCGGCCGUAACCGUAACGGUCCUAAGGUAGCGAAAUUCCUUGUCGGGUAAAUUCCGACCUGCACGAAAGGCGUAACGAUCUGGACAGUGUCUCAACAAGCGACCCGGUGAAAUUGCAAUGUCUGUGAAGAUGCAGACGACCCGCGGCAAGACGGAAAGACCCCGUGGAGCUUUACUGCAGCUUGGUAUUGAGCUGAUGGCGUGCAUGUACAGGAUAGGUGGGAAUCAGUGAAACAUAUGCGCUAGCAUGUGUGGAGAUAACCGUGGGAUACCACCCUUGUACGUUGUUGGUUCUCACUGAUAUUCCUAGACGGGAUACAGGAAAGUGCCAGGUGGGCAGUUUGACUGGGGCGGUCGCCUCCCAAAAGGUAACGGAGGCGUUCAAAGGUUCUCUCAGCGCGGAUGGAAAUCGUGCUAAUGAGUGCAAAGGCAUAAGAGAGCCUGACUGCGAGACGUACAUGUCAAGCAGGGACGAAAGUCGGACUUAGUGAUCCGGUGGUACCGAGUGGAAGGGCCAUCGCGCAACGGAUAAAAGCUACCCCGGGGAUAACAGGCUAAUCUCCCCCGAGAGUUCACAUCGGCGGGGGGGUUUGGCACCUCGAUGUCGGCUCGUCUCAUCCUGGGGCUGUAGCCGGUCCCAAGGGUAUGGCUGUUCGCCAUUUAAAGAGGUACGCGAGCUGGGUUCAGAACGUCGUGAGACAGUUCGGUCCCUAUCUGCCGCGGGCGUAGGAGGCUUGCAGGGGUCUGUUCCUAGUACGAGAGGACCGGAAUGGGCAUGCCAAUGGUGUACCUGUUGCUUCGCCAGGAGCACAGCAGGGUAGCUAAGCAUGAUAGGAGAAGCGCUGAAAGCAUCUAAGCGCGAAGCCUGCCCUAAGAUUAGGCCUCCCGCCGCAGCAAAGCGGGUAAGACACCUUGGAGAAUACGAGGUUGAUCGGUCUGAUGUGAAAGCGUCGUGAGACGUGAAGCUGACAGAUACGAAUUGUACGAGGGCUUGACCCA